rnacentral:rRNA from 1 species
UGGGGGAUAUUGCACAAUGGGGGAAACCCUGAUGCAGCGACGCCGCGUGAGGGAAGACGGUUUUCGGAUUGUAAACCUCUGUCUUCGGGGAAGAAACAAGACAGUACCCGAGGAGGAAGCCACGGCUAACUACGUGCCAGCAGCCGCGGUAAUACGUAGGUGGCAAGCGUUGUCCGGAAUUACUGGGUGUAAAGGGAGAGUAGGCGGGACGGCAAGUUGAAUGUAAAAGGUAACGGCUCAACCGUUAUAAGCGUUCAAAACUGCUGUUCUUGAGUGGAGUAGAGGCAGGCGGAAUUCCUAGUGUAGCGGUGAAAUGCGUAGAUAUUAGGAGGAACACCAGUGGCGAAGGCGGCCUGCUGGGCUCUAACAGACGCUGAGGCUCGAAAGCGUGGGUAGCAAACA